UUUUUAAAGUCCUUUAUUAGAGCACACCUCUUCCUUAAGUGAAACUAUACACAGAGACACAAUACUGAAACACGGAACAGAACGGCUCCAGCCCACCCAUCCCGUCCCAGUGGAGCGCUUCGGGACAGACCACUCCCCGCAGCAUCAAUUUCAAUUGCUUUUGUACAAGAUUCCAAAUGAAAACAAAACCAAACUAAAUGCCAGGGCUCUCCAAGCACCUGCACUUCCAUGACUUCAUGUAACCCCCUCACCACAAUUACCUACCAAAGAAGCGCCGUCCUGUUUUAUAGGUGAGAAAAUAGGCUCAGAGGAUAUUACAGCCCAAACCCCGUAUCCUCUCUGGACCAUGAUGCCUUGGAAGAACAAAGAUAAGAGAACCCCAUUCCCUAUUUCGGACCUCCGAGACCAACUUUCUCACCCAGAUCUGAAGGUCUCCCAUGAAACAAACGCGAUAGCAGAACUUUCUCCAGUCUAGAGGGCUACACAGACCUGUCUGGACUUGAUCAGAAGCCCUCCAGCACUCAAGAAAGGACACUUUUUGAAAAAAAAAUUGUUUUUAUUGGAACUCAUCUGAACAUCAGAUAUACCUGGUGUUGGUUAGCAAGAACCGUUUGUACAUUUGAUAUUGAUGGUGCCAAAACCAAAACAGUGACUGGACAUGAUGGGGAAAGAUGUUGAGAACAAAUACCUGAUUUUGGAGAGGAAAACAAAAGCCAGUCAGAUUCAGUGAGGAUGCAAAACCUGGUACAACAAAAUCCUUUUACAAAAUAUAAAUUUAUUACGAAAACCUGGAAGGAUAAUCUGAGAAAGGGAAAGAAAGAGAAAAGGAGGCCAGCGGGAAGGAGGCGGGGGCAGCGGGAGGGACGACAAAGAGGACAUGAGAGAAAGAAGAAAACAGAGCUGAGCACAACAGAGGUGCAGAAGCUUACCUGCCCAAACGGCAUUAAAGCCUUGCUAAGGAAUCUCAUCGUUAAACCAAGCAUGCUGGAGUACAGUGCUCUACCUCCCAGCCACCCACUUCUAAGAGGUAAAUCGAGAAGCUCCCUGGGAGGGGGACAUGAGGUUGCGCGAAAACCCAACAACGAAACUGGGAGAAAAAAACCACACCCCACAGUCUCAUUUCCAAUGUUCACUGUUUUAAAAAGGAAUAGAAUAAAAAGUCGUUGCUUUGAUGGUCAGGCAAACACCCAAUUCUGAAGAGGAGGCGAGGUGAUACCCAGCGAGUGUGGGUCAGGAGCCCCAGUGGCUGGCGGAGCGCCUGGCUUUGCAGCCCUCUCCCAGGAGGCAGAGAGCACAGCUUUAGGUAGUGUAAGCCUUUUUCCUUUUAUUUAGAAUAACCUUUUUUUUUUUUUUU
rnacentral:lncRNA from 1 species